UCAACGGGUUUGGGUGCGGGUGCGAGUGCGAGCUCGGUGUAUGUUGAUGGAAAUGAAUCUGAUGAGGUUAAAGCCUUUGCUGAUCUCAGUAUAAGUGAUGAUGUUGAUAGUGGAGUUGAUACUGGGAAGAAGGAAGGGGAGAAAGUAGAUAAAGGUGUUGAUAGCAUUGCUAAACCGGAUUUGGUAGUUGAGGGGAACAGAGAGAACAGUAGUGGUUCUUUAGUGUCAUUGACUUCUGGAAUGUCAGAUGGUUUACUCGAAUCCAGCAACGGUAAUUUGGAGACUGAGGUAAUUGACGGUAAGACGGAGAAUCAGACCAGUGGAUCGAGCAAUUCGGGUGUGAAGGAAGUUGGAUGGGGUGCUUUCCAUGCUGAUCCAGUUACAAAUGAUGCUUCUGGGUUUGGAUCCUACAUGGACUUUUUCAGUGAAUUGGGAGAUAAUAACGGUGAUGCGACGGGAAAUGUCGGUGAGAAUGUGAAUAAGGCGUCAACUGUUUUGCCAGUUGAACAGGUUCAUGACACAAUACAAGUUCAUGAAACAGCGCAUCUGGAGAAUUCUAGUUCCUUAACACAGAGUCAAGAUAGUUAUGUCCAUGAUGCUACCGCAGAACAAGUUGCAGAUGGACAGGAUCUAAAUAGUACCCAGUAUUGGGAAAAUCUUUAUCCAGGAUGGAAGUAUGACACAAGUACUGGGCAGUGGUAUCAGAUUGAUAAUUAUGAAUCAGGAGCUAAUGUACAAGGAAGUACUGA
rnacentral:misc_RNA from 1 species